rnacentral:rRNA from 1 species
CGUACGUAGAGUGUAAAGGCAAAAGAGAGCUUGAUUGCAAGACAUACAGGUCGAGCAAGGAUGAAAAUCGGACUUAGUGAUCCGGUGGUUCUGCGUGGAAGGGCCAUCGCUCAACGGAUAAAAGCUACCCUGGGGAUAACAGGCUUAUCUCCCCCAAGAGUCCACAUCGACGGGGAGGUUUGGCACCUCGAUGUCGGCUCAUCACAUCCUGGGGCUGUAGUAGGUCCCAAGGGUUGGGCUGUUCGCCCAUUAAAGUGGUACGCGAGCUGGGUUCAGAACGUCGUGAGACAGUUCGGUCCCUAUCCGUCGCAGGCGUAGGAAAUUUGAGAAGACCUGUCCUUAGUACGAGAGGACCGGGAUGGACGUACCUCUGGUGUACCAGUUGUCCUGCCAAGGGCAUGGCUGGGUAGCUAUGUGCGGAAUGGAUAAGCGCUGAAAGCAUCUAAGCGCGAAGCCAACUUCAAGAUAAGAUUUCCCACCGCAAGGGUAAGACCCCAGAAAGACUAUCUGGUUGAUAGGUCGAAGGUGUAAGUGCAGCAAUGUAU